CAGCAGCCGCGGGAAAACGUAGGGUGCAAGCGUUAAUCGGAAUUACUGGGCGUAAAGCGUGCGCAGGCGGUUAUAUAAGACAGAUGUGAAAUCCCCGGGCUCAACCUGGGAACUGCAUUUGUGACUGUAUAGCUAGAGUACGGCAGAGGGGGAUGGAAUUCCGCGUGUAGCAGUGAAAUGCGUAGAUAUGCGGAGGAACACCGAUGGCGAAGGCAGCCCCCUGGGCCAACACUGACGCUCAUGCACGAAAGCGUGGGGAGCAAACAGGAUUAGAUACCCCAGUAGUCCCUGUCUCUUAUAC
rnacentral:rRNA from 1 species